GCCCUCGUAGCUCAGCGGACAGAGCACCAGGUUCCGGACCUGGGGGCCGCUGGUUCGAUCCCAGCCGGGGGCA
rnacentral:tRNA from 1 species